AGUCCCGCACUGUCGGUCACUGCAGUGCACGCCUGGGUGUGCCGUUUCACCGCCAUGUGGGGCCAGCUACGCAGAAUCUCCAUCUACCUUCCCUCAACAGACUCUCGCGCCUGCGACCGAUUCUUUCCCAUCGGCGCGAUUGCUGGGCAGGUCCCCCUCCUGGCGAUCCGAAGUACUCGCGCCCAACCUCCUUCUGCCCGAGGUAUAAGACCGACCUCCCCUUCCUUCGUCCAUCCGUUCGUGGUGCGCCAUUGCAGGGAGGAAUCAGAGAGAGAGAAAGAAAUCGAGGUGAGAGAAUGAGGGGAUCAACAAAUUGGGGGGGAGAGUCCCCGGACCCGCGUGCGUCCUUCACCGGAGUCCACGCAACCGUUGGCACCCUCAUCGUGUGGAGUUGCGGUCGGUCCUAGGGUCAAUUGCUCGCCGAUAAUUGUGAGCACCGCGGAAACACAACCUGCCGCGGUCGACUCAUGCUUGCAGCGCCACCCCACCGUCGGCGGAUGGCCAGGGUCAACCCCUGGAGUUCAAGGAGCAUCUUUGUGGCUGUUGCGGGAGCGAUGGACAACCAUGGAGACUGGGAUUCUCCACCGCGGAUUCAUGGAUGCGGCUGACCCUCGCUUCACCGGGGACCUGGUGGCUCUGUGCAUAAAUUUUCGCGCGAGGUCACGAGUCACCUGAAGAUCAUCCUGGUACCUGAAAUCUCAAGUCACAGACAAGUUGUGCCCUUGAUCACUUUUUACCUAAUAAUAUUCUUUAUAAUCAUUUAUUCAUGCAUAGGUUUAAUUUUUAUGGGACCCAAUAGGUCACCCUAGUCUGCUUAUCUUGUUACCUUGUUUAUCCCUGAAUUAUUUGGGUAGUUUUUGCUAUUGCUUUAUAUGGUUUGGGGAUUAAUAUUACAUUAUGUCCAUGUUCCAAUUAUUCUGUUACUUUAUUUAUGUUCAUGUCAAGAUCAUUAUAUUUUUAAUUGGAACAAGGAGCUUAACUUGAGAAACACGUGCCACCACAAGGGUGGAAUGAGACGCCCUUGGCUGACUAACUAGGAAAGCUAGUGGAAGACUACCUUACCCGAAAGGGGCAAGGGCAGUAGGGGAGUUGCAUGCAGGGAGGUUCUCGGGUUGAUUUUGCUGCGAUGGCGGUCAGACGAGGGAUUCCUGCAAGUGCUCUUCCCAUAAACUGUAGCGGGUUUUUAGAAGCUAGUGGAACUUUGUAAAGGCCUCGUAGUGGAUCCCUAGUCAUUCACCUCGGUUGUGUCUAAGGGUCUAGCUAACCCUAACGACAUGGGAUACACGACUUGUGGGUAUAGGGUACAACCUCUGCAGAGUGUAAAACUGGUAUACUAGCCGAGCUCACGGUCAAGAGUAGCUCAAGACUCUCGCAUGAUUAAAUUAUGGAACUAAAUUCAAUUAGUCAUUUGCAUUGCAUGUGUUAUUAAUUUUGUUCUAUUAUUAUUAUGGUUGAUAUUUACUUACAUUUAGUAACUGCUAAUAAAAUUUUGACCAACUUUAAAAGCAAUGCUCAGCUUUAACCAUCCUCUUUGGUAAGCCUUACACUUCACAUGAGCUCCCACCUUUGGCGAGUUCAUGCAUAUUAUUCCCCACAACUUGUUGAGCUAUGAACGUAUGUGAGCUCACCCUUGCUGUCUCACACCCCCUCCCCACAGGUCAAGGACAGAUACCAUAGGAUGAGGCGCAUGGUGGAUGCAGCAAGGUGUUCAUGAGAGAUCUAGGUCGUCGUCUCCCAGUCAACUUUGGGUUGCUGGAUCGUUGUCUCCUUACGAUGUAAUUAUUUAUUUAUGUUCUCCUAUUGUAUAAUAAAGUUGUGACAUUCGUUUCUGUACCACUAUUCAUCAUAUGUGUGAGACUUGGUCCCAGCACACCUGAUGUUUAUGUUCGCGCCCGGGUUCCUAAAACCUGGGUGUGACAUCAAGACGUCCUUAAGUCACAUUAUAUAGAGUAUCCAUUGAAAACCCAUUUCUUC